rnacentral:rRNA from 1 species
GACGAACGCUGGCGGCGUGCUUAACACAUGCAAGUCGAACGGAAAGGCCCUGCUUUUGUGGGGUGCUCGAGUGGCGAACGGGUGAGUAACACGUGAGUAACCUGCCCUUGACUUUGGGAUAACUUCAGGAAACUGGGGCUAAUACCGGAUAGGAGCUCCUGCUGCAUGGUGGGGGUUGGAAAGUUUCGGCUGUGGGGGAUGGACUCGCGGCUUAUCAGCUUGUUGGUGGGGUAGUGGCUUACCAAGGCUUUGACGGGUAGCCGGCCUGAGAGGGUGACCGGCCACAUUGGGACUGAGAUACGGCCCAGACUCCUACGGGAGGCAGCAGUGGGGAAUAUUGCACAAUGGGCGGAAGCCUGAUGCAGCAACGCCGCGUGCGGGAUGACGGCCUUCGGGUUGUAAACCGCUUUCGCCUGUGACGAAGCGUGAGUGACGGUAAUGGGUAAAGAAGCACCGGCUAACUACGUG